UAGAGGAUGUGUCAAGCUGCAGAAAGGAAGGUGGAGGAAGGAGGGUGCUGAAGCAAUUUCUGCUUUCGAACUGGAGGUACUUUCACUGAGCUGUAAACAUAAGUCUCCAGCCAAGUGAUCUAGAUUUCGUGGAGGUUUUUUCCCCCGUUUAUCUUUUGAAUAAAGAAGAUGCAAUUAAUAUGACAGGACUGUAGCAGAUAUCCAGUAAUGCUAUUACCAACUGGCUAGCUCAGCAGUAUGUUUUUAGCAUUUUUAUGGCACAGCAAACAUGGGAGAGAGCACUUUCUGUCAGACCAAAUCAGCUGCAUGCGCUGAAGAAUGGCGAUAAGCAUACACACRGCACCAACAGAGUUAACGCUACAAUCAACAUGCUGUUCAACUUUCUCAUCAGAUCUACAACCUGCUUCUUCCAGUUACUUCAGAUUCAUUGUGGCAUGAUACCAGUGGCUGCAGUGGAGUUCUGUUCUUACUCCAGAAUUAUGCCUGGGCGACUGAAAAAAGAAACAUGA
rnacentral:lncRNA from 1 species